rnacentral:other from 1 species
AACUUUCUGCGGUGUUCGUUACGCCCCUUUUUUAGGCCCACAUCAUUUAUAAGGGACGUCCCGCUCCCGCCGUGAAGCGCAGGCCUCCCGGCCCGGCUCGACCGAGGUUGGACGUUGGAAGCACAGAAACGGCGGGGAGACGACCCACCUGCCAACCGUGCAGGUUCUAAUCGGGGGCGGACGGCACACGCGGGAGAGGC